rnacentral:rRNA from 1 species
GCAAGUCGAACGAGAAGCCCUUCGGGGUGGAAAGUGGCGCACGGGUGCGUAACACGUGGGUAAUCAACCCUUCUGCCUGGGAUAACAUCGGGAAACCGGUGCUAAUACCGGAUGUGUCGGGAAGGUCUUCGGACUUUCUCGGGAAAGACCCGCAAGGGUUACAGAAGGACGAGCCCGCGGCCCAUCAGCUUGUUGGCGAGGUAAUGGCUCACCAAGGCUUCGAUGGGUAGCUGGUCUGAGAGGAUGAUC